rnacentral:lncRNA from 1 species
AUACAUACAUAUAUAUAUAUAUAUAUAUUUAUAUUUUUAUUUUUUUUUUUUAAAGGAGGGGAAACUGGGAGCGAGCCGCAGGUGUGGAUGGCUGCCUGGCUGGCGUGAAAAGCGGGGCCCGGAGCCACCAUGGAGCACAUCCGGAUGCCCAAGGUGGAAAAUGUUCGGUUACUUGAUCGUGUAUCCUCAAGAAAAGCUGCACUGGGAACCUUGUAUUUAACAGCUACCCAUGUCAUAUUUGUGGAGAAUUCUUCUGACACUCGUAAAGAAACCUGGGUUCUCCACAGCCAAAUUUCCUCCAUUGAGAAGCAGGCCACAACUGCCACAGGUUGCCCACUGCUGAUCCGCUGCAAGAACUUCCAAGUCAUCCAGCUAAUCAUCCCUCAGGAACGAGACUGCCAUGAUGUUUACAUCUCUCUAAUACGUCUGGCACGGCCAGUGAAAUACGAAGAGCUGUAUUGUUUCUCAUUCAAUCCAAAAUUAGAUAAAGAAGAACGAGAACAAGGCUGGAAGCUUGUGGACCUCAAUGAAGAAUAUAACCGGAUGGACUAUGGCGUGAGUUUGUACGUACCAAAAUCUGCAACUGCACACAUCAUAGUGGGGAGCUCUAAGUUCCGGAGCCGAAGGCGUUUCCCAGCUCUUUCCUACUACUGCAAGGAUAACAAUGCCUCCAUAUGUAGGAGCAGCCAGCCUUUAUCUGGCUUUAGUGCUCGAUGUCUUGAGGAUGAACAGAUGCUCCAGGCCAUCCGAAAAGCAAACCCAGGAAGUGAUUUCCUAUAUGUUGUUGACACUCGACCCAAACUCAAUGCAAUGGCAAAUCGAGCAGCAGGGAAGGGAUAUGAGAACGAAGACAACUACUCCAACAUCAAGUUUCAAUUCAUAGGCAUUGAGAACAUCCACGUCAUGAGAAAUAGUCUGCAGAAAAUGCUUGAAGUUUGUGAACUGAAAUCACCUUCAAUGAGUGACUUUCUGUGGGGCCUUGAAAAUUCGGGCUGGCUGAAGCAUAUCAAAGCCAUUAUGGAUGCUGGCAUUUUUAUUGCAAAGGCUGUGGCUGAGGAAGGUGUGAGUGUGCUUGUUCACUGCUCUGAUGGCUGGGAUAGAACAGCCCAGGUUUGCUCUGUAGCAAGCCUUCUGUUGGACCCAUAUUACAGAACUAUGAAGGGAUUCAUGGUUUUAAUUGAAAAAGAUUGGAUUUCCUUUGGUCACAAAUUUAACCACAGGUACGGCAAUUUAGAUGGAGAUCCAAAAGAGAUAUCCCCUGUUAUUGACCAGUUCAUCGAAUGUGUCUGGCAGCUAAUGGAACAAUUUCCUUGUGCCUUUGAAUUCAAUGAGAGAUUCCUGAUCCACAUACAGCACCAUAUCUAUUCUUGCCAGUUCGGUAAUUUCCUGUGUAACAGCCAGAAGGAGAGACGAGAGCUGAAAAUCCAAGAACGAACAUAUUCACUGUGGGCUCACUUGUGGAAAAAUCGUGCAGAUUACUUGAAUCCUCUGUACCGAUCAAACCACAGCCAAACUCAAAGGACCCUGUACCCACAGAUGGCUCCAUGCAACUUCUUGUACAAGUUCUGGAGUGGUAUGUACAAUCGCUUUGAAAAGGGGCUGCAUCCUCGACAGUCAGUUACUGAUUAUCUGAUGGCAGUGAAGGAAGAGACUCAGCAGCUGGAAGAAGAGCUGGAAGUCUUAGGAGAGAGGCUGGCCAAUCUUCAGAAAAUGCAACUAAAUGGUAAUAAAAUCCAGAGUAAGCAGCAAGACCGAAGCAAACAAUUAGGGCUUUCUGCUUCCACCAACAGCUUAGCCAAUACUCCCCAGGAGUAUGGCAACGAUCUGAAAUCAUUCCCGUCCCGGAGCCCUUCACAAGGGGAUGAAGAUUCAGCCUUGAUUUUGACACAGGACAACCUGAAAAGCUCUGAUCCUGACCUCUCAGCCAACAGUGAUCAGGAGUCUGGUGUGGAGGACUUAAGCUGCAGGUCCCCCAGUGUGGGUGGCUGCUUGCCUAGCGAGGACAGUGGUAAGGAUUCAGAUGAAGCUGUAUGUCUGGCAGUCUGA